CUUGCACUUAAUGGGAACCUGUCGCCUUUUGCGCGCCCGGACCAUCGCUUGUACUUAAGAGAAAGCUGGCUUCCUAAGAGUUCACUUAUCGAACACAAACUAGCGAGUCCGGCGUUGAGAAGUUACAAGAUUGGGGCUGGAGGCUCGGGCCCGGCAGGCUCCGCUGCGGCACACGGUCUGGAGGUCUGGCGGGCCUCUGGCUUCCCGGCCGGGCCGCGUCCGCAGGGGCUCCGAGCGCUAGAGCCCGCGCGCCGGCGCCUCCCUCACCUCGUCGUCCAGGAAGUCCAGGUAAUCUCUCUGAGCCUCCCGCAGCUCCACAUCGUCCAGCACCACGGUACCCGCCAUGCCCGCUGCCAAAGAACUACCUCCACCAAAGUCGCGUGGAGGUUCCCAGGAUGACUCCACCCCGGCGCGAAAACUUCCGAACUCUUCCCGCCACCAAAGGUUACCUCGAGGAAGAGGCGGGGACCUUGGGAGCAUAUAAGCAUUAUGAUUGGCUGAGUUCUCUGAGGUCGGACUAGCGACUGUCCAAUCAAAAGCUUCUUCUUCUUCGGGUUUUCCGCUGCGCGCCCCGCGGUGGCGGGAAACGUACCAUCCGGGAUUCUCUGUUCCUCCCCUCCCUCCGCCUCACUCACUGACGAGCAAACUGACCAAUAGGGCUGAGAGGAGGCUCACAGAGGCUGGUCAUUGAGCAGCUGGAGGGGACAGGCUGGCGAGAGGGAAAGCAUUGCGUUCUGGGAGUUGUAGUGUUCUCCCUCCUUUCCGGAUGUUUUUGCAGGGUUUUUCAAGCUGCAGAACUUUUGACCCGAUGCAACGACCAAAUUCAGAGGAUGGUGCUUUAUAACGCAGGGAGAUGAAAACAUAAAAGCAAAUCAUUUUUAAGAUAUAUCCAAAUCAGAACUGCCCUCCAGUGGCAUCCUAGUGUAAAAGUGGAUUUUGAGAAUCUAUAGGAUAGAAUAUAGAACUACAGUACCUUAGGGAAAGAUUAGUUAAAAACCCAUUUGCUAUCUGAUACCGUUGCCUGACGAACUCCAUAAAGACAUCGCCGCAGAGAAGGAUGAAGUGAAAAAAAAAAUCUGUGUUUACCCUGCCCCCUAGAGACUUCAUCGUGUGUUAUACAAAUUUUGGAAACCGUUACUACUCCAUCUUACUUAAUAACAGGUAAAUUAAAGGCUUUCUGGUCUUAUAAAAAGAUCACAAGAUCCUUUUAAGUAACUUAGCUUACUGAACGAUCAGCUCAAGAGGGGAAAAAGUGUUUCACGU
rnacentral:lncRNA from 1 species